rnacentral:rRNA from 1 species
CAACAGGGAUUGCCCUAGUAACGGCGAGUGAAGCGGCAACAGCUCAAAUUUGAAAUCUGGCUCUCUUUGGGGGUCCGAGUUGUAAUUUGCAGAGGAUGCUUUGGCAUUGGCGGCGGUCUAAGUUCCUUGGAACAGGACAUCGCAGAGGGUGAGAAUCCCGUACGUGGGCGCCUGCCUUUGCCGUGUAAAGCUCCUUCGACGAGUCGAGUUGUUUGGGAAUGCAGCUCUAAAUGGGAGGUAAAUUUCUUCUAAAGCUAAAUACCGGCCAGAGACCGAUAGCGCACAAGUAGAGUGAUCGAAAGAUGAAAAGUACUUUGGAAAGAGAGUCAAAAAGCACGUGAAAUUGUUGAAAGGGAAGCGCUUGCAGCCAGACUUGCCCGCAGUUGCUCACCUAGGCUUUGGCCUGGGGCACUCUUCUGCGGGCAGGCCAGCAUCAGUUUGGGCGGUUGGAUAAAGGCCUCUGUCACGUAUCUUCCUUCGGGAUGACCUUAUAGGGGAGGCGUAAUGCAACCAGCCCGGACUGAGGUCCGCGCAUCUGCUAGGAUGCUGGCGUAAUGGCUGUAAGCGGCCCGUCUUGAAACACGGACCAAGGAGUCUAACAUCUAUGCGAGUGUUUGGGUGUCAAGCCCGGGCGCGCAAUGAAAGUGAACGGAGGUGGGAACCCUUUGGGUGCACCAUCGACCGAUCCUGAUGUCUUCGGAUGGAUUUGAGUAAGAGCAUAGCUGUUGGGACCCGAAAGAUGGUGAACUAUGCUUGAAUAGGGUGAAGCCAGAGGAAACUCUGGUGGAGGCUCGCAGCGGUUCUGACGUGCAAAUCGAUCGUCAAAUUUGGGCAUAGGGGCGAAAGACUAAUCGAACCAUCUAGUAGCUGGUUCCUGCCG